GGCCUGAUGGUCUAGUAGUAUGAUUCCUUGUUAGGGCUCUGUGGAAAUUGUUCCCAGACCAGUCGAGGAGGUCCCGGGUUCAAUUCCCGGUUAGGCCC